AUGAUAAGAUGUUUCAUGUUUAGAUACAUGUAGUAUAUGAUGAUAACAUGCUUAAUGUUUAGAUACGUGAUAAUAAGAUGUUUAAUGUUUAGAUACAUGAUGAUAAGAUGUUUAAUGUUUAGAUACAUGAUGAUAAGAUGUUUAAUGUUUAGAUACAUGAUAAGAUGUUUAAUGUUUAGAUACUUGAUAAUAAGAUGUUUAAUGUUUAGAUACAUGAUGAUAAGAUGUUUAAUGUUUAGAUACAGGAUGAUAAGAUGUUUAAUGUUUAGAUACAUGAUAAGAUGUUUAAUGUUUAGAUACAUGAUGAUAAGAUUAGAUACAUGAUAAGAUGUUUAAUGUUUAGAUACAUGUAGUAUAUGAUGAUAAGAUGUUUAAUGUUUAGAUACAUGAUAAGAUGUUUAAUGUUUAGAUACAUGAUGAUAAGAUUAGAUACAUGAUAAGAUGUUUAAUGUUUAGAUACAUGUAGUAUAUGAUGAUAAGAUGUUCAAUGUUUAGAUACAUGAUAAGAUGUUUAAUGUUUAGAUACAUGAUGAUAAGAUUAGAUACAUGAUAAGAUGUUUAAUGUUUAGACACAUGAUGAUAAGAUUAGAUACAUGAUGAUAAGAUGUUUAAUGUUUAGAUACAUGUAGUAUAUGAUGAUAAGAUGUUUAAUGUUUAGAUACAUGAUAAGAUGUUUAAUGUUUAGAUACAUGAUGAUAAGAUGUUUGAUGUUUAGAUACAUGUAGUACAUGAUGAUA
ensembl:lncRNA